AUUUGCAAAUUUUAAGUUCUCUCUCAAGUUUAGAUAUAACUGUUAUAAUUUAAAGCUUGCUCUAGACCUAAACUUGUGGGAUGAAAAUUUGAUCUGAAGUCUAAGUUGUUAACGGAUACGAUAUGGGAAGGCUGAGCUGCUGUUUAUCUGUUCCUAGAGAUGCUAGAAUUCUGGAGAAUUUUAUCUUUGAAAAUCUUUAAAAUGUUGCAUGAUGAGUUCCUGUAUGAUGAGAGCUUAAAUUCCUACCACAGCCAUAUAUACAUGCUUGCUAGACUUUGAGCCACACAUUUAUUAUUUACUGCUUAUGAGCAUUGAGUGUGGUCAAGCUGUGUAGACCCUUAGGAGCUUGUCAUGUGGUUAAAUCAAGAUUUCACUUGCACGUUCACUCAUAUAUGCUACUUCUACUCUGGAAGUACCAUCCACAUAUAUCCAUCCAUUUCCAUCUCCAGAAUCACCCAAAAAUAUUCUACUUCUAAUCCGGGAGAGAAUAACCAAAAAUAUUUCUGUUUUCCCCUUGUGAAAUAAAUGCUCAAGUUAUCUUGUUACUACCACUUGCUAUAUUAUCUCAAGAGAUGAAUGUUCUAAAAAAAAGGAGAAAUAAUACGAGGAAAUAAAAAGGAGCAAGUGCUCGGAACCUCGAAAGAAAAGAAAAAAAAGAGUGAGACGAGAGGUAAAAAUGGACAAGUGUCCGACAGUAGAAUUAGAGGUGCAAAAUACCCACCUGAGAGAAAAGAAAAAGAAGAGCAUCUCAUUCUCCUCAUAAAGUUUCAAAAGCAAGGAAGGUAUGUAUCCCCUCAAAAGAGCAAAGUAGAAUUAGACUUCCACCACCAUUGUUUUCACCAUUGUUAUCACCAUCAUCACCAUACACCAUUCAUUCGCCACACAUGCACAUCUUGAUUAAACUUAUUGACUUGUUACUUUGGAUCCAUGGUUUGACUAUGCAAUAAAUGUCUUGUAAGUAUGUAUACUUUAUCUCCCACCUAUGAGCUCCAGAUAUUAAAGCCUUAUUAGAGUAGGGUGAGAGAGAAGGUAAUGUCACUAUGCUUUGUACCACAAAUACCACAUAUCUUGAGAGAAGGCAUAUACCAUCAAUGCCUUGGUAAGGAUCCAAAAAUACCACAAAAGAGAGACCUGAGAGAAUUAUACAAGGAAUCUCUGAGUUUUAUUUGAAAAUCUGCAAAAAAAAAAAUCCCAGAGCUAUAGCUGAUCAAGAAUAAGAGACAUGGCACUUGGGUAGACUGUUCUAUCUUUUAACCACUCAAGACAGAAGUGACAGUUACAAGUCCCAUGGUGGAGGUAAAGUAAGUAAGUUUUAAGUCUUGACAGUUUACUCUAACUCAGAGAUGAGAUCUUAUUUAAAAGCAUGUGUACCGUCAAAUUUUUAAAAUAUUGCAGCAACUUCUGAUCCAUAGCUGAGUCUAUCCUUGCUCAGGGACGAGCAAGAGGUAAGCUUGGGGGAGUUUGUUGACGGUCCUUAAGUAUCAAAUUUAAUUAUCAAAUAAAUAAAGAAAAGGAUCCAAAUGAAAUCAAGAUCUAGACUUAGGGUUUUAUCUGACAGAAUUCCACGAGUUUUGGUGUUUGUCUAUUUCUGCAGGGGGUUAUCAGGAAAUAUGGAAGAAAGACCCACAUGUCAGGAUUACGUAAAGAUAUUAACGUGCUGCGCAAUUAUCUUACAUCUAGAAGACUCCAGAAGCCACGAGACCGAAGCGGAGGCGAAACGGGGCCAGACCCUGGGCGGCCGCCCAGUUGGUCAGGGCGCCCGCCCACCCCCCAAGUCCAAUCAGGACUCUGCUAUGCGGAAAAUCUCCACCGACCUAAAGGAUGAAUCUAAACCAUACAAUCUAUGUCGGUUUGAUCCAAGGGCCCAUAUUCACUUGAAGGGACUAUAAAACCAGACCCCCUGGCCCCUGGAGGAGAGAGCCUCUCAACCCUAAUUCAUUGUUCCAUCAAGGGAGAAGAAGCCUCUGAUCGAGAUUAGAGCCACCACAUCAAUUAGAUAUCUAGAUUAGCAUAGCUACAUAGGAUUAGAACUAGAAGGAGUCAAUCUUCGAUUGGUUUUCGGAUCUGUCAGGAGGAUUCUUGGUAAUUCUCUAAUUGUGCUUCUAAUUGCUUUCUAAUUAUCUUUGUUCUUCAAUAUUAUGAAUAUGACUUUGUUCUACUUCAAUAUAUUGCUUAUGACUUUGCUCUACUUGUUUAUAUUCAAGAUUAUAUUGUUCUUAGUUUAUCAUAGUUAUGUACUUGGCUUAGUUAGAUUCGAUCUAUAUACAUGCUUAGGAUCGUAUAGCGUUUAUCCAUCGGAUCCAUGGGUAAAUGAUAGAUAUUGUGUAGGCGUAGUGCUUAAACCAUAUUUAUCUGCGAUUGUACCCAAUAUGCCAGAUCGUGGGGUGGUUCGUGAUAGUGACAGCUUCAUUGAUUCUUAUAUAGUCCCCCUCUCGUGUAUUGGGCUGGCAGAGCAACAUUAUUACAGGGGAGUGAUUGCUAUGUUUCUCAUUUACCUUGCUAAUAUCACUAUGCAUGGGCGUAGUCUUGUCUUGCAAUGAUUGCUAAGUAUGCUUGCACUAAUUAUGAUAAUGCUAAACUAUAUAGUUGAGAAUAACUUAGGGAAUAUUCUUGUAGUUCGUUCUAAUACCAUGCUAAUGACUUUCUAGAGUAUCUAAUUGAGGUGCUUAUCAUAUUUAUUAUGUGGCUAGAUCAGAUUAGUUAUCCUUGUCACUAUUAUUAUUUCAUAUAUCUUUUAUGUGACACUUAUCCCUGUAUGAAGAGUUAGAUAUAAUGUUCUCAAUUAUACAUGCAAUGAUAGAUACUCAAUCUCAUAAUCUAUUCUGUAAUCAAUAGUGAUGAUUGCUAAUCCCUUCCCAGUGGUAAAAAUAUAAAUAACGAUACCUGGAAUACUUCCUGGUUAAAAUGCUACAUCGGUAUUAAUCUGUGCGCUUGCAGAUCCCAUUCAUUAUUUAUUUAGAAGAGCAAUUGCAUAUUUCAAUACCACGUCUCUCAUGUCAUGCUGGGGAUGACAACUUGGCUUAAGUGGUGUGAGGGAUAGGUUUGGCAUUUUUGGCACCGUUACUAGAUUUAGAGAACUUAGUCUACUUUUGGUAAUGAUGUUAAGAAUACCCAACAAGCAUUUUUGGCGCCGUUGCCGGGGAAGGUUGAUUAAUAAUCAGGAAUAGAAUAAAAGAUUUUGAGUUAUCAUUCGCAUCACUAAUAUGAUUGAGCUUAUCUAUUCUCUCAUACAGUUUUACCCCGAUAUUUUUCUAUUUUAUCUUAUGCAGGGGAAUGUAUGAAUAGAAGACAUCUUCCAGGAAAUUUUGUUGACAAUCCCGAAACAUUAUUCAAGAAGACGAGAGCAAAGCUCAAGAAGAGAUCAUCAACAGUUCAGCAAGAAGCUUCAUCCAAUCAAGAAGAUCACCGGAACUUGUCUUCAGAGUUUGAAGCCAUGGCGAACAAAUCAAUCCGCGAGUUUUCGGCUCCCACUACGGACAACAUCCGCACUGGACCUGCUGCAGAGAUCGAUGGCAACUUGGAGCUCAAGCCUGGACUUAUCAACAUGGUGCAAUCCAACCAGUUCUGUGGGAAGGCACAUGAAGAUGCUAUUGCUCAUUUACAACACUUCCUGGAGAUUUGCAACACAUUCACCAUAUCAGGAGUUUCCAAAGAUGCUAUACUACUUCGCCUCUUCCCAUUCUCACUGUUAGGAAGAGCGAAGCAGUGGUUCUACGCUACAAAGGAGAAGAAUACUACGUGGGCACUCUGCUCAACAAACUUCCUAGCAAAGUUCUUUCCCAUGGGCAAGACCAAUGCUCUCCGUGGGAAGAUUACAAGUUUUCAGCAACAAAAUGAUGAAUCCGUUCCAGAAGCAUGGGAGCACUUUCAAGACUACAUCCUAGAAUGUCGCCAUCAUGGAAUGGAGAGUUGGCUAUUAAUGCAGACAUUUUAUCACGGGCUCGGCAACAGUGCCCGAGAGACCAUGGAUGCUGCAGCUGGAGGAGCAUUCUUAUCACUUACUAUACCACAAGCCACAGCUCUUGUGGAAAAGAUGGCGUCCAACCAAGGCUGGAAUGAAGAGAGGAGCCAGACACGCAAGAGAGGUGGAGGUAUGCAUCAGCUCAAGGAGGUAGACAUGCUGUCUACAAAGCUAGACCUGCUCAUGAAGAAGCUCGAUGAUAGAGCUGGAGACAAGAAAGAAGUUAUGCACAUCUACGACUCUCACAUGACUUGUGAGGAGUGUGGAGACAAUGGACACUCAGGCAAUCACUGCCCUGAGAUACUUGAGGAUGUGAACUACAUCAACAACAACAACUACUACUACAACCGUCCUCAACAAAAUCAAGGUUGGAAUCAACAGAGGCCUAACUACUCAGGUAAUUAUCAAGGUAACAAUUCUUACAACAACAAUAAUAAUUUUCCACCUUUGAGAGAGUUAGUGUCUAAUCAAGGAAAGCUAAUGGAUAAUCUAUCUAAGAAAUUGGCAUCUAAUGAUAAAAUGCUAGAAAAUAUAAAUAAUAGAAUGGAUAAUUUUUCUACUGCCAUCAAGAAUCAAAUUAGCUUUAAUAAAAUGAUUGAAUCUCAGUUAAAUCAAAUAGCUGCUGCUGUUCCUACUACUAACCCCGGUAUACCAUCACAACGGGAAGGAUUAGAAUCUGCAAAUCUUGUAGACAUGUUUGAUGCAGGUAAUUGGAGUAACCCCAUCACUGAAUUCUCUACUGACCUUCUACCGGUCAAGAGAGGCGAUCCAGGACGCCCCGUCAUCCCGAUCUCCAUCGGCAUGGUGGACGUUCCAGAAGCACUCUGCGACUUUGGCUCCAGUGUCAACAUUAUACCCAGGGUACUCUAUGAAAAAUUCUUUACAAAUCCUUUAUUAGAAACAACCAUGUGUUUGCAGUUUGCAGAUCAGACGAUAACUUUUCCAAAGGGAAUAUUGAAGAAUCUUUGUGUCCGAGUUGGUACCUUAUAUGCCCCAGCAGACUUCAUAGUAGUAGAGACCGGAAAUGAUGAGAGAGCACCUAUCAUCUUAGGGAGGCCAUUCUUGAACACCACGGGAGCUAUCAUCUACGCUAGUGCUGCCAAGAUCAGUUUCUACGUCAAAGGGAGGAUGGAGACAUUUUUCUUCAAGAACAAGACUACACAAAUUCCAGAUCAAUCCAGACGUAAGUCAAGGAAGAGGACCAACAGGAGGAACAGGAACAAGCAAGUGUGGACCGAGUCAGCUAAGAUGGUCACUGCAAUUCAUAGAGGCCAAGAUCACCACCUUAAGUCACCGCUUUUGACCAAGAAGGACGACCCAGGAAUGGCAAGCAUCUACUGCUCCAUAAAUGGAUACAACUUCUAUAAGACAACUUGUGACACCGGAUCGGGCGUAAACAUAAUGGCCGCAGUCACCUAUCGGCUCUUGUUCGGAACCAUGCCCCUGAGACCAACAUACAUUCAACUCCAGAUGACAGAUCAGACAUUUCGAGAAGUCAAAGGAAUAGUAACUGAUGUCCCAGUCAAAAUAGACGAUCACUUUGUCUACACAGACUUUCAAGUUAUUGACAUGGGAGAAGACGAGUAUGAUCCACCCAUCAUCCUUGGAAGACCAUUCCUCAGCACCGUUAAAGCAAUUAUCUACAUUGGAAUCGGAGAAGUCCAUAUGCACUUCCCCUCAGAGAAGGUACGCCGUUAUUUUACUGACCCUAACUAUAUCGUUGAAGAAUCUAAGCAGGUAAGAAAGCGACGCAACCGCAACCAGAGGAGGCAGAUCAUCAAGGAUGGAUGGGCAGACUAUGAAGGAGAAGUUGUAAGGUCAGAAGACGUAUAGUUUAAACAGAAUUAUCCAGAGGAGACGGAAACACCAAGUCAGGUGUGGAAAAUAAAGAUAACUAUACAUGAAGAGGAGGCGCUGCCGGAAGUACCGACUACGCCACCCAACGAACCUCAGGACGAUUAAGAAAAUGGAGAGUCCCGUUCGAAGGACUUAAAAACACCGAACGCCUUGCCAAGAGGUAACUUGGUAGUUAUCAUUUCCCUUUCAAUUAUUUUAAAUAGUACUUAGUUAAUCAUGUUCAUGCUAUCUUAAAAAGAAAAUAAAAAAAAUGUGUGAAAAACAGUAAGCCCCAUGUGAGUAUACGAAUGGCAUAAAACCUAUAAGUACAUUUCACUGUGGUGGCAUAAAAAUAAAAUAAUUAUUUUUCUGCUCUAAUAAAAUAAAAAUAUAAAAACAGGGAGUAAUAUUUAUUAAGGAGUCUCAACAUGAUAAAGGCUAGAUAUUUAUGCUAACACUUAACCAGUUCCACAAGCUUUGUUGUCUAUUUGAACUCCACAGAAUUUAAGAAUCAAGAAGACUGGCAGACGGAGGACAUUCUAAACGCUGUCAGAAUGCUGCUGACUUUCAAAUACACCUCUGCCACCUGCUAGCUACAUCAAGAGAAAUUACGUCAAAAUUCAGCUUGGGGGAGAGCACCCCCAUUUAUCUCGAUAAGUAUUUCUAUCUAUCUUUAUACUUAUAUUAUUUUAGAAUAUAAAUACACAUAAACUAUGGAAAACUAAAUAAGGAUUUUAUGCUUAUAUAUAUAUAUGUCUUUUGCUUAGUGUGUUUAAUAAAUAAAUAAAGUGGCUAUGCUAAUCUGUAUCUAAAUAAAACUUAAGCAUGGAUAUGAUGAAUAGUUGCUCUGCCUAAUUUGCACAUUUUAAGUUCUCUCUCAAGUUUAGACAUAACGGUUAUAAUUUAAAGCUUGUUCUAGACCUAAACUUGUGGGAUGAAAACUUGAUCUGAAGUCUAAGUUGUUAACGGAUACGAUAUGGGAAGGUUGAGCUGCUAUUUAUCUGUUCCUAGAGAUGCUAGAAUUCUGGAGAAUUUUAUCUUUGAAAAUCUUUAAAAUGUUGCAUGAUGAGUUCCUUUAUGAUGAGAGUUUAAAUUCCUACCACAGCCAUAUAUACAUGCUUGCUAGACUUUGAGCCACACAUUUAAUAUUUACUGCUUAUGAGCAUUGAGUGUGGUCAAGCUGUGUAGACCCUUAGGAGCUUGUCAUGUGGUUAAAUCAAGAUUUCACUUGCACGUUCGCUCAUAUAUGCUACUUCUACUCCGGAAGUACCAUCCACAUAUAUCCAUCCAUUUCCAUCUCCAGAAUCACCCAAAAAUAUUCUACUCCUAAUUUGGGAGAGAAUAACAAAAAAUAUUCCUGUUUUUCCUUGUGAAAUAAAUGCUCAAAUUAUCUUGUUACUACCACUUGCUAUAUUAUCUCAAGAGAUGAGUGCUCUGAAAAAAUAAUAAAAAAAUAAUAAUAUGAGGAAAUAAAAAGUAGCAAGUGCUCGGAACCUCGAAAGAAAAGAAAAAGUGAGACGAGAGAUAAAAAUGGACAAGUGUCCGAUAGUAGAAUUAGGGGUACAAGAUACCCACCUGAGAGAAAAGAAAAGAAAAAAGAAGAGCAUCUCAUUCUCCUCACAAAGUUUCAAAAAGCAAGAAAGGUAUUUAUCCCCUCAAAAGAGCAAAAGUAGAAUUAGACUUCCUCCACCAUUGUUAUCACCAUCAUCACCAUACACCAUUCAUUCGCCACACAUGCACAUCUUGAUUUGGCUUAUUGAUUUGUUUCUUUGGAUCCAUGGUUUGACUAUGCAAUAAAUGUCUUGUAAGUAUGUAUACUUUAUCUCCCACCUAUGAGCUCCAGAUAUAAAAGCCUUAUUAGAGUAGGGUGAGAGAGAAGACAAUGUCAUUAUGCUUUAUACCAUAAGUACCACAUAUCUUGAGAGAAGGCAUAUACCAUCACUGCCUUAGUAAAGAUCCAGAAAUACCACAAAAGAGAGAUCUGAGAGAGUCAUACAAGGAAUCUCUGAGUUUUAUUUGAAAAUCUGCAAAAACCCCAGAGCUAUAGCUGAUCAAGAAUAAGAGACAUGGCACUUGGCUAGACUGUUCUAUCUUUUAACCACUCAAGACAGAAGUGACAGUUACAAGUCGCAUGGUGAAGGUAAAGUUUGUAAGUUUUAAGUCUUGACAGUUUACUCUAACUCAGAGAUGAGAUCUUAUUUAAAAAGCAUGUGUACCGUCAAUUUUUAAAUAUUGCAACAACUUAUGAUCCAUAGCUGAGUCUAUCCUUGCUUAGGGACGAGCAAGAGGUAAGCUUGGGGGAGUUUGUUGACGGUCCUUAAGUAUCAAAUUUAAUUAUCAAAUAAAUAAAGAAAAGGAUCCAAAUGAAAUCAAGAUCUAGACUUAGGGUUUUAUCUGACAGAAUUCCACAAGUUUUGGUGUUUGUCUAUUUCUGCAGGGGGUUAUCAGGAAAUACGGAAGAAAGGCCCACACGUCGGGAUUACAUAGAGAUAUUAACGUGCCGCGCAAUUAUCUUACAUCUAGAAGACUCCAGAAGCCACGAGACCGAAGCGGAGGCGAAACGGGGCCAGAGGCAGGGCGCCCGCCCUCCUGCCCUGGGCGCCCGCCCCCUCUGGGAGUCCAAUCAGGACUCUGCUUCGUGGGAGAUCUCCACCGACCUAAAGAAUGAAUCUAAACCAUACAAUCUAUGUCGGUUUGAUCCAACGGCCCAUAUUCACUUGAAGGGACUAUAAAACCAGACCCCCUGGCCCCUGGAGGAGGGAGCCUCUCAACCCUAAUUCAUUGUUCCUCAAGGGAGAAGAAGCCUC
rnacentral:lncRNA from 1 species